rnacentral:rRNA from 1 species
GACGAACGCUGGCGGCGUGCCUAAUACAUGCAAGUAGAACGCUGAAGCUUGGUGCUUGCACCGAGCGGAUGAGUUGCGAACGGGUGAGUAACGCGUAGGUAACCUGCCUGGUAGCGGGGGAUAACUAUUGGAAACGAUAGCUAAUACCGCAUAAGAGUAGAUAUCGCAUGAUAGCUGCUUGAAAGGUGCAAUUGCACCACUACCAGAUGGACCUGCGUUGUAUUAGCUAGUUGGUGAGGUAACGGCUCACCAAGGCAACGAUACAUAGCCGACCUGAGAGGGUGAUCGGCCACACUGGGACUGAGACACGGCCCAGACUCCUACGGGAGGCAGCAGUAGGGAAUCUUCGGCAAUGGACGAAAGUCUGACCGAGCAACGCCGCGUGAGUGAAGAAGGUUUUCGGAUCGUAAAGCUCUGUUGUAAGAGAAGAACGAGUGUGAGAGUGGAAAGUUCACACUGUGACGGUAUCUUACCAGAAAGGGACGGCUAACUACGUGCCAGCAGCCGCGGUAAUACGUAGGUCCCGAGCGUUGUCCGGAUUUAUUGGGCGUAAAGCGAGCGCAGGCGGUUAGAUAAGUCUGAAGUUAAAGGCUGUGGCCUAACCAUAGUACGCUUUGGAAACUGUUUAACUUGAGUGCAAGAGGGGAGAGUGGAAUUCCAUGUGUAGCGGUGAAAUGCGUAGAUAUAUGGAGGAACACCGGUGGCGAAAGCGGCUCUCUGGCUUGUAACUGACGCUGAGGCUCGAAAGCGUGGGGAGCAAACAGG